UUUAUGAUAAACAUAGGAUUAACGUAGGAUAUCUGAAUAGACUGGAUAUAAUAUAAUAUAUGCAUUUUUUAUUUGUAUAAUAAUGCGGGACCUUAACAUUUAAUUUAAGCGGGGCCUUAGACACGGCCCUCGUACAACUUGACUCUAGCCGUGUCUGCACAUGAUGGUAGUAAAACUCGAUAAUUGCAAUGUGCGUGCGAGUACAUGAAGUACAAUAUACCAGAAUACUCGUAUAUAGUUCCUGUCCCAAUGUCAUAUUAUUAUUAUGCGUUAGUUAAAUAUGUUAUAUGUAUACCUAUACGUUUUAAUGUUUUAUUAUCAAUAAUAUAAAUUUUAUAUAAAUGUAAAAAUAGGAUUUUUUGUCAGGCAUUUUCUCUGAUACUAUAGGUACUCAUCCAAUAAUCUUGAUUUUUUUAAAUGAAAGAGUACAUCGUGGAGCAAGUUUUAAGUUUAUUUCUAUAAUUCUAUAAGUUAAUGAAAAAUCGAGCUAUUAAUUUUUUUAAUAAUCGGAAAAUACGCACAUAAAAAUAUUUUUUUUUCCGUCCAUGCGUAACCAAUAUUAAUGGUUAUUACUUUAUUCGUAUUUUAGGGUAUAGUUGAAUAUAGUAUAAAACUUUUUCGUUGUUUUUGGUUUACACUAUUGAAACUUUUAGUUGAGUUGUUGGCUUUUGACCCAAAAUGAAGUUGAAUGUUGAUACGAUUUAUCGGAAAUAUCAUCUAUACAUUAAUUCAGAAAAUAAAAAUAUUAUUUCUCCACACAAGUUACGCUAAAUGUUAGCAUUAGCCAUUAGGUAACCAAAUUUAACACGGAUGCGUUUUGUAUGGUCAACGAAGUUCAAGUGAUGGAAAUCUAAUCUAUUGUAUGUAUGUAUAUAUUGUAUACCUAGGUAGUUGUUUUAUAAGUUCAUCAAUCUUAAAGUAAUUUAUGUGUAAUACUGCAACUGCAUAUAAACAUAUGGUUGUAUAAGUGUGUAACUAUAGGCUUUUGUAUUUUGUGGCUGAGGUUUCCGCUAAAAUUAUUUUUAUUAUACUAUACAUUUUAAUAGUUACUAUUUGUUUUUUAAUGUGUUAUAAAUACCUAGAAACGUCUAUUUUUUAUAUAUACUGUUGGUUUUUUAUCAACUGAUCACCCUCCCGCCGUCCAUACUAAUUUAUGUAUACAUCAUUAUUGAAUACGUUGUAGGAAACACCGGCAUCGCCACGGGAAAAUAGAGUACAUCGCGUAUGCCGAGGGCAAAGGGACAGCCGAGAAAAGCUCUCAAGGUCUCAAAUAUAUGAUAAACUUGAGAACACGUGUUCGAUAUAAUAGGUCUACGUUCCACAAAACAAGGGAAGUGAAAUAAGUGAAAAAAUAUAAGCAAGGAAGUCUCGAAGCGUACCAAAGAUAGCCAAUGAUUAUAACACGAUUAGGAAAAAAUAUUCAACACUUGGUGUGUGAUGCAAAUGGAAAAACCACUCCGAGGAAACCGGUUUUAAGUCACUCGAGAAUUGCAUAAUGAUUAACGAGUUAAAGCAAAAAAAUAAACUAAAAAUAUUAUGUCUUCUUUUUGCCAAGAUCGCAUAUUUUACAAUUAUCAGUUCUUACUUAUUAUUAUUACUUAGAUCUACGUACAUGUUCGUAGAUGAUCCAUUCAGGGUAAUUAUUUUAACAGUAAACACUCUUUAUCUUAAGACGUUUAUAUAUUUAUAUUAUUUUUUUUUUACAUAAUUUAAAGAGUGUAUAAUUUUUUUUUUUUUUAAGUAAAUAUAUUAUAUUUUUUUAUUUACAUUCACUCCGAUUACCA